AACCACUUGAUUUCAUUAUAAAUUUACCCAUCUGGAUGCCAGAAAAGAGAAACUUGAUUGUUUAGUCAGCUACCCAAUCAGAGAAGAUACAUUUUUUCAAAUUGCAGUUAUAUCACCAAAUACAGUAGAGAUCUUAUGUAGUAAAAACAUCCAUAAGCAUCAUUUUGCUGACACCAACAAAAAUAUUUCCAUCCACACAUCAAGCCACCAAAAAUUCUUUGGGGAUCGAUUUCUUCCUCUCUAUAGCAAAGUAACAUGUGCAUAUCUACUGCAAAUCUUAAGGCAAACAGACUUGUUCUAUUCACUUGUCAUUGCAAUGAAGCAUCUGCUGCUCCCUAGUUUUUUGUUUUUUCUGAUUUCUCCAAUUCAAAAACAUCAUCCUACCACCUCUUUUAGUUGUUAAAUAUCCCUGUGCUUGUGGCUACAUUUCUUUGCACUGGAGAAAUGAUCUCAUUAACAAACUACUUCUGUGCGUCCUUAACACUGAGGCCCCUCGCCUGCAGUUGGAGGCAGCGCUCUGCUCAGCCUGCAGUGUGGUGACACAGGCAGGCAACAUCGUCACUGAGCACUAACUUCUAUUCCACCGAGGCAGAUGAUGAAAACCAUUUCAGAACCACAGCAAACCAGGAGAGAGGCAAAGGGGUAGCUGCAAAGUUUUGGACAAGACCUCUGCAGCAACUGGAAGCACAGUGUACCCAGGUGGGGAUGAUAGUGGGUCAUGAUAGUUCUCAAACCUUAAAAUCAGAUUUACUUGGAGAAUUUUACAGAGACUUUUCAUUAGGUACCACAUGAUCGUUGCUUGUUGAUUCAUAUUUACAUGCAAGGCAAGAGAAGUCUACUUGAGAGCACAUUGGAUACAGUGGUGGAGUUCUGCAAGUGGUAAGAUUUACUUUUGGGGAGACAAGCAGUGAUUGCUGAAGAAGAAAGAUCAUUCAGCAAGCAGAUUUUCCUGCUUUCAGCUUUGUUUCUCACUCCUUCGGAGACACUGGAAUCCAGUAUUGAUCCUUCUAGUUUGGAAGCUGUUAAAAGUAUUGAUCAGGUUAUUAACUUCUCAGCCUGCCAGCAGAUGGUUCUAGUGCAAAGACAAAUACAGUAAGAAGCCUCAUAGGUAUGGCAGUAAAAUCCUCAUAAAGGCAGAAGUGUUUAAAUGAGUAGUGCAAGGAAGUCGUCCCCAAAAGAGGAAGAAAAGCUAUAUAGUUGGAGAUACAAGAAGCAAACAUGAAACACACAGUUGAAACAUUUAAGAUGACUGUGAAAAAGGUCUAUGUUCACUUGUUAAAGAAUGUGCCAGGGCAGACUAAAGCAUAUGAAUAGUUCUUUCACAGGUCACAGCAUCCAUUCAGCCCAUGGACAUUGUUAUUACCCGACAGAAAUAGAUGGGCCUAAUUAAUAUUCUGAACAUACCUGAGAGAACAUUCUUAAGGAAAUCAUCCUCUGGUGGUUUGGAAAGAAAAAAGGAAAGGAAGAAAGAAAAAAAAGGAAAGAAAGAAAGAAAGAAAGAAAGAAAGAAAGAAAGAAAGAAAGAAAGAAAGAAAGAAAGAAAGAAAAAGAAAGAAAGGCGAAAACUUAACAGAAAACAGUGGGCAUGCUAUGAAGACAUUACAGCAGCCAUUAUGUGGUGGGAAACUGAGGCCUCCUAUCAAUAUCCAUGUGAGACAAAUACCUUGGAAGUGGAUCUUCCAAGUCUAGUCAUACUUCAAAUGACUAUGGCCCAAGCUGCCAGAACCACCCAGCUAAGCUGCUCCUAAAUUUCUGACCUACAGAGAUUGAGAUAAUAACUGUCUAUUGUUUUAAGCUAUUAUAAAGAGAGAGAGGUUUUAUACCUUCUCUCUUUUUCUUGCCAGCAGUAGGUAACUAGCCCAAUAACUAUGAAAUCAAAUUCACUGCCUGUUGAGUUUCUGAUGCUGGAUAAUAAAAAUAUUGGGAGCUAUUAUAUUGUGUCUACCUUCAUGUAUAUUUGAAUAAUUCCAUAAUAAAACUUUAAAAAACUCUUUUGCAUUUUUCUUAAUCAUGAAGGAUUUAAAUUUAGUUAAAAUUAAAGAUAUUUUCUUUAAACCAUCCUUUUAAAUCCCUUUACAAUUGUUUCCUCAAUAAUAUUUAUAUACCUUUGGAUUAUCCUCACCAUCUUCCAGCAAUUUUCUAAAAACAAAACCUUAAUAGAAAGGUCACACUAACAAAAUCCUGUAGGAUUAUAAAAAAUAGAGACAAUGCUAAGAAGGAACUUAUAGAAGUGAUUUUGGUAUCUUCCCACUACCAUAAUCUUUAUGAUUCUCCCAUAGAUAAAUAUAUUCUGAGUAAGACUGUGGGCUUUCUUGACAAACACAGCUUCCAGAUAUAACCCCCUGAGCUCACUGUAGCAAAAAUAAAAUUGUAAAAAUAAAAAGUUAUUAGCUUUAAAAGAUUGCUAUGAUAUGAUUAGCUAAAUUUCUCUCUAAAAUAUAAUCAGUGAAUAUAUAUUUA